rnacentral:rRNA from 1 species
CCUACGGGAGGCAGCAGUGGGGAAUCUUGUGCAAUGGACGAAAGUCUGACACAGCCACGCCGCGUGCGGGAAGAAGGCCUUCGGGUUGUAAACCGCUUUCAGCAGGAACGAAAAUGACGGUACCUGCAGAAGAAGAUGCGGCCAACUACGUGCCAGCAGCCGCGGUGAUACGUAGGCAUCAAGCGUUGUCCGGAUUUAUUGGGCGUAAAGAGCUCGUAGGCGGUUCAGCAAGUCGGGUGUGAAAACUCUGGGCUUAACCCAGAGCCUGCACUCGAAACUGCUGUGACUAGAGUUCGGUAGGGGAGCAGGGAAUUCCUAGUGUAGCGGUGAAAUGCGCAGAUAUUAGGAGGAACACCAAUGGCGAAGGCACUGCUCUGGGCCGAUACUGACGCUGAGGAGCGAGAGCGUGGGUAGCAAACAGGAUUAGAUACCCUGGUAGUCCACGCCGUAAACGAUGGGCACUAGGUGUGGGUCUCUAACCAACGAGAUCUGCGCUGUCGCGUACGACAUAAGUGCCCGCCGCGGGAGGUAACGGUCGCGAGAACGUAAACGUUAACGAAAGGAAGUUAGACGGCGNGAGACGNGCCGACGGACGACGACGAGGGAGGAGGAG